rnacentral:rRNA from 1 species
AGAGGAAGUAAAAGUCGUAACAAGGUUUCCGUAGGUGAACCUGCGGAAGGAUCAUUAUUGAAUAAAUCUGAUAAGUUGUUGCUGGUUCUCUAGGGAGCAUGUGCACGCUUGUCAUCUUCACAUUUCCACCUGUGCACCUUUUGUAGACCUGGAUAUCUCUCUGACUGCUAGUCACUCAGGUUUGGGGAUUGACUUACGUCUCUCCUUACAUUUUCAGGCCUAUGUCUCUUCACAUACCCAAUUAUAUGUUAUAGAAUGUAACUAAACGGCCUUUGUGCCUAUAAACCUAUACAACUUUCAGCAACGGAUCUCUUGGCUCUCGCAUCGAUGAAGAACGCAGCGAAAUGCGAUAAGUAAUGUGAAUUGCAGAAUUCAGUGAAUCAUCGAAUUUUUGAACGCACCUUGCGCUCCUUGGUAUUCCGAGGAGCAUGCCUGUUUGAGUGUCAUUAAUAUAUCAACCCCCUUCAGCUUUUGUUUGUCGGGUGUUGGAUGUGGGGGGUGUCUUGUUGCUGGUCUUCCAAGGUCAGCUCCCCUAAAAUUUAUUAGCGGAACAAUUGUAGACCGUUCUUUGGUGUGAUAACUAUCUACGCUAUUGACGUGAAGCAGUUCAGCUUCCAACAGUCUUUGCACAAGUUUUCAUUAAUGUGACCUCAAAUCAGGUAGGAUUACCCGCUGAACUUAAGCAUAUCAAUAAGCGGAGG